UUUUAUUCGAAUCGACUUUUUGUUGGGUGUGGACUUGUCCUUUAUCAAUCUUCUUUUUUUUGACAAAGAGCAAAAGUAAUUGGUAGACAAAGUAGAAAUGAGAUCAUCUGAGCAUUUGACCGAAAACAAAUUGAUAGCAGACCAUGUAGUAUGACUACUUAUGAAGUUGACCAAUCAAUAUAUACCAAUCAAAAAUUGAUAUUCCUCAGAAAAUAACGAAACAGUACACCAACUUCAUUCAUCAUAAUUUGAUAUAUUUCCUGGGAAAAUAAUAGUGGCACAAACGUGAAACUGUAACAUUGAUACAUGCAUAGGCUCACAGUUUUUUUUAUUCAAACACUGAUUUAUCAAGAAUUCUCAACAUUAAUUAUGGCUUGAACGUAUUAUGUACAAUUCCUAUUCCAGCCUUGGUCUUUGCUUAUGCCACAAAAACAUUAUCAAGGCAAAUCAAAAUAACAAGCAAACUCAUCUACUGCUUGCAAUGUUUUCAUUAUAAAUCCUGCUAGUGCCUGCAUCUUGUAACACCUACACUGUGACAACAUCUUCACUUACUUUCCCUAAUCAACCAAGUAACAACAUCCUAUCAUUAUUUGUAGGCCCAUUGAAACUAAACCAUUUGAACACAAUUUGAUUUUAAUAACUAUAUAACACAUUUUCCAUAAACUCUAGCCCAGAUAUUUCAUGCAUAGGGCUGAAUGUAUCAAGUUUUUUCCAUUGAAAUUACUUCUAGUUAGAAAACACCAAUGAUGAGCCUAACAAAAGAACACAUAUUAAAGAGUACUGAUUUUAUAAUGCAUUAGGGUAUGCAUUAUCUAACAAUCGUGUGGUCAUUCAUUUCAACUUAUGCUCAAAAUUGUAAAUCUAGUACUCAAAUUUUCACCACACAAAAUGACAAAACCUGAAUCAAUAUUAAUCAAUGAUGAUAGAACUAUUUUUCGUAUCCAUAAUUUUAUCUUCAAAAUGUCAACUAAUCAAAUUAGUUUUCAAACUAUUAACUUUGCGUAGCUCUAAAAAAAUAUUCUGAAGGUAAUGUUGGAACUGAUAACGGCAUUUCGACAUACACCAAACCCAAGUAAAAUGCUGGUAGGCCAACAGAGUACGACUGAAUAAUAUUCAACGUAUCUUCAUAGCUAUAACUAUGACAUUUAUCAAGGUAUGAUUUUUUUUUAUAGUUUGUAAGCGAGAACUCAAAUUUGACACAAAUAAUACCAUGUCUAGAGCCGAGAUUUAGACUCCAAAUCCCGUGACCAGUAUCACCAAAGAGGUUUCAAUCAUGAUACUAAACCAUGGAUGGUCCAGAAUUUUGUACAGAAUCAUGCCUAUUUCAUCCCGUACACUAAUGUAAAUCCAAUUAAAUGCACACUUAUGGCAAAGGAUGCUAUUGGGAAGCACAAAAAUAAGAGAAAUCUGCAUGAACCAUGGUUUUGUACCACGAUAUAAUCAAAACCUCUGUCAUGAAUACAGGCCUAUCUGUAGAGGCAGACACGGUAUAGAAUGAAUCUGCAUACAUUCGUAAUUCCGAAGCUUCGUUAUUCCAAAGGUUCGGUUAUUCCGAAGAAUUACGAAGUGUAACAAAGUGAAUCUAGUCUCACUACCUACAUCUUGGAAUAAUGCACUAUGCGAAAACAAAAGUGGCUCAAGACUAGUACGGGAGUAUGCUAUGCUUUUACCAAGCAAUGUUGAUACCAUCUUACAAACUCUCAUACUCAUUUGUUACUCUUCUUAUACAGUGUAUUCAAUAUUCAUGGUUCUCCAGGCCAAAAUGAUCGAAAUUAGAAAAAAAAAUCACCAAAAUGGAUAUCCAUAAUUUCCAGACAAGAUGUCUUCUCCAAUUAAACAUGCUACAAGAUGUGUUCAAGCUAUGGCAGUAAACAUCCUUUCCCAUCCCAUCUAUCAACAUUUCAGAACACUAAAUCAUCCAUUCAAUAACUCUAAGCUAUUCAACACUUGCAAAAUACAGACUUCUAUAAUCACAUAUAUACAAAAUUAAGAUAAUUUCAGAUUUUGACACAUGAUAUAAUCAUUGCAUUGUAUUGGCAUUACAUGCUCGCUACAAUGAUUCUAUACAUAAUAGGAAGAGAAAGAAAAAAAGUGUUUUGAGAUCAUGGUGGCUGUCUGCAUACUUGUACUUGUAAAAAUUUAAUCCUGUCCUUGUUUGGAGUAUUUUCACGAUCAAAUAUUGCUCAAAACUUAUUUUCCUAAGGGGUUGAUUACAGGAUUCCAUGCAAUGUGAAAUCCACGAGCUGCAAAAAUACGAUUUUUUAGAAGAAAUGAAAUAUGACCUAAAGAAAUGUAUUUGAUUAUCUUUAUCUUUGUGACAUGGUGUCUUUUAUACAAGGGUUGAAAAAGUGUGUGUGGAAAACUAAACCUUUUUUCGCCUUUCCUGCCCUCCGCUAAAUUGACCUUUAAAUUAUAUUAAGAAAUUACUAUAAUUCUUGAAAAUCUUAUUUUUUGUGCAUUGGAAUUAUUUUUUUUAUUGAUUUAUAGUCUAAGACACAACAUAAUGCACUGUUAAAAAAAUGAUUGCACUAAAAGAAAUUUAUACUGUCAUUAAUAAUGAAAGGAAAAUAAAUCCAAAGUAAAGUUUUUCCUAAGCUACAGAUACAUGUUAUUUCUAAAGGUAUGUGAAGUCUAAUCCUGAAUCUCCAUUCAGCAUGCUGUCUAUUCACACAAGAAAAAAAUAAACAGCCAGUGAACUUGGCACAACGAGAAAAAAAAAAGUAACAAAAAAUCAAUUGUAUCAUCCCAGAGUAUAGGAUACUUAAAUAGGUGAAAGCCAGUUGAAAUACAUGUCAAAGCUUUUUAAGAGAUAAAUGCAACUUUGAGCCCUUUUGUUCCUUUCUUUCUUAAUUUAGUAAGUAUUAAAGAUUAUGGUCCGUAUACUGAAGUCGGGUUUACUAGUAACUUAGACCAUUGUCGAAGUCUGCCAAAAUGAUGAGAAGCCAAACAUUUCAAAAUGUUGUUUACAUUGUAUGCACUAAGUUCACUGCUCUUUCAUAAUUCUUUAUUGGUAAAACAGCUAUCUUAUUCUUACCAUGCACUUAAGUAUGAUUUGAGUGUCAAAUGAGCCGAUUCAUUGUCUCUACUAUCAGAUAUUUAUGUCACAAUUGGCUAUCCAUAGUUAAACCACAAAUUUCGACCAGAGUUUUGAAGUAAACCUGACUUCAGAAUACGGGCCCAUAUUUCAACAAAUCUUACAUGAUUGAAUAGUGGAUACCCAAUGUGAAAUUCCUCUAAAUAAGAACAAUAAAAUAGGAUUGUAAGAACUCUUCACAAGUUCUACCAUUCAAUCAGGAACACAACAGAAUUUGGUCUGGUAUCUAUAUGUAAUGUAGUACUGAAUAAUGUCUGCAAACAUUCUUUACAAGAUGAUGCGGAAACCAAAAUCAAAUUGCCCCAAAAAUUCCUUGACAAAUGCAAGCAAUCCUACAUCUCUAAAGAAAACUUACUUACAGACAAAGCAAUUUCAUCUUUGCAUAUGAUUUCAUAUUGGGCCCACUACAAUUCUUCACCCAAUGCCAUGCAAGUUAUUUACAUUACAAAGAUGCAGCUGGCAUUUCUAUCUUUCCAUCUUGAAAAGCUCUACUGGCCUGCACGACCUACAACAAAGAAGAAUGUGAAAUGAAACCAGGCAGUCAUAUCCUUGGUGUAUAUAACUCAAGAAGAUUUUUCCUGCUUCGCCUCAUAUCACCUAACCCUUCACCAAAUGUUUGUGCUUAUUUACUUCAGCUGGUAAUGCAUUCAUAACAGGUAGGUUUUGCCAUCACCUUGGGAAAGCAUGUAUCAAACAGAUAUCUAUAACAUAAAGAAAGUGAUAUUUUCUAACCAGACAAUCUCAAUUGCCAUGCUUUUCUUUUCUCAUCAUCAGAUGCUAAUCACUAGUUCAAUAAAGUGAGGUAUAUCUCUGAAAGCAUGACAAUCGAUAAGUUGGGAUAAGAAUAGUUCCUGGGCAGGCCAAACCUUUCAAUCUGAUGAAAUCGUAGAGGUAUUACGAGCGUCUAGCAGUGCACGAGUGGUAUUGCAUGUCUAUAUUCAGCAUAAAGUGCUCCUUGUGCAGUGCAUAGACAUUUGUGCUAUCACCUUCAACAUUCCAAAUGCCAGUAAUAUUUUCAAAUAGCUUGAAAAAAAGAAGAAGCUGUUUGCUCAAUCAAUUCACACAAUGGCAACAGGGUCUGAAUGGUCCCUGAUUUUGAUAGGAAAUUGAAAAAAAUUGUCAAAUCAGUGACACAUAAUAUUAAAUCCAGUAACUACUACCAAUAGUUAAGAUUUGAACAUACAUGUCACUGUCACCCAAAGUGGACUAUGUUUGACCAGGAAAAAAAAAUGGCCUCACAUUCCUUUAGCUAUCAAAGAAUAAUAAUACAUUUAUACUCAAAGUACAGUAUUUCAGAAAAGGUUUGCAGCUUAUGCUAAUAUCUCUUCGCAGUAGGCUUGAAAGUGGUUUGGCUACACAGGCGCAUCACUAUAGUAUGCUCGAAACACCACAAAUAACAAUCACAGAAGAUUAAGUUUUCUUAUAAUGACCAGGAAAGAUUAUGAAUAAAGCAAGGGGUAUCCACAAACAAGGAUUAUAACCAUUCACUGUAGACUUUUCCAAAAUAAAGAUAAACAACACCAAUAUUGUAAUGCAGUUUCAGAACAACAUUCAAGGAUUUAUCUAACAUGAUGGAUCAUACCUCACGGGGGGAUAAUCACAUAAGAACAUUCUUACAUUCAUAUUGAACCAUUGAAAAUAUCCUACACAAGUGGUUGACCAAUCAGGAUUCCAUUGAGCUUUCUACAAGGAUCUACAAACAAUUUUUGAA
rnacentral:lncRNA from 1 species